rfam:Schistosoma rodhaini strain Burundi genome assembly, scaffold: SROB_scaffold0002613
AUUCAGCUGACGAGUCCCAAAUAGGAUGAAACGGACGUCAAACUGGAU